AGACUGGCCUGUAGCUGCUUCCCACCCUGUGCCCAGCUCUCUGGUCUCAGGACAGAGCAACUGGCUUUCUGGUACCCUCUUUUCCUCAGUGAGCAAACUUCUAUCUCUCUCUCUCAACUUCCUGAGCUAAAGGCAGGAAAGGACCCUAGGCUAAUCUCUAAUUCCAGCAGCCAUUCUGGGGUCAGCUCUGAGAACAAAGAUAACUAUGCUUGACAGCUGCCCUGCCCCAGCCAGCUAAGAGAAGCUGGGAAGACCUCCCAGAUAUCUCUAGUUCCCAGCAAAUAUCAGCAGGCAAACACCCAAAGUACAGCUGGGAAUUCCUGUGUGAUUCAGAUCUGGCUGAGCUGGGGCAGGUGUUUCCUUGGAGCCUGGGAUGUCUGUAUUGCAAGCAGCCAGACAAUGAUGAAGACAACGAUUCCAGCCUCCUGCCACUUUCUCAGUCUGAACUGCUGCACCAGGGUGCCUUCUAACCUUCACUCCGUGGGAGCACACUAUAAUGUAUGAAGCUCCCCUCUGCUGUUUUCUCAUUAACACUCAACAAUUAGUAUUUAAAACAA